rnacentral:rRNA from 1 species
AGAGAUGUGUGAUGACGCAUAUCAAUAAGCGGAGGAAAAGAAACUAACAAGGAUUCCCUUAGUAACGGCGAGUGAAGCGGGAAGAGCUCAAAUUUGAAAUCUUCAAGGUUCUACCUUGACGAAUUGUAGUUUAUAGAAGUGUUUUCUGUUAGUAGAGUGGCAAAAGUUCUUUGGAAUAGGACAUCAUAGAGGGUGAGAAUCCCGUAUUUGGUCAUUCUUUCUAGCUUUGUGAUACACUUUCAACGAGUCGGAUUGUUUGGGAAUGCAGUCCAAAAUGGGUGGUAAAUUUCAUCUAAAGCUAAAUAUUGGCGAGAGACCGAUAGCGAACAAGUACCGUGAGGGAAAGAUGAAAAGAACUUUGAAAAGAGAGUUAAACAGUACGUGAAAUUGUCAAAAGGGAAGCGUUUGACACCAGUGUUGUUUUUCCGAAAAUCAAUUACGAAUGUUUUGUUUUUGAGAAGUUAUGACUUCAUCGGCUUGCUUCUCUCUUUACGAAACUUUCUUAAUGCACUUUUCGGUUAACAAGUCAACAUCAAUUUCUUUUGUUGUAAAGGGUAUGAGGAAAGUGGCUUUCUUUUCGGAGAAAGUGUUUAUAGCCUUGUACCUCUGCAAUCGGAGAGAUUGAGGUCUGCAGCGUAGAUCCUUCGGGGUUAGAUACAUUUGUGCUAAGUUAUAGCUUUUCAUAGACAACUUGUUGACUAUGUUAAGUCUUGUAGCUUACUCGCUUAUGCUAUUUUACCUACGCUUAGGAUGUUGACAGCAGUAUAGACUGU